AAUUAUUUUAACUCGCCUCAAUGGAAUUGAGGCCUUUGAAAAACCUGCAAUUGAAUUUGCGUCAAGGAAGGUGGCAGCCGUUUCAGGUGAUGCACGCCGUGCACUAGAAAUAUGUAGGCGAGCUGCGGAACUUGCAGAUUAUCGUGUUAAGAAAUUGCUACCAAUUCCUGAUUCUGCUGCACCAGGUAAAAUGCUUGUCAGAAUGGCAGAUGUUGAAGCAGCCAUUCAGGAAAUGUUCCAAGCUCCUCAUAUCCAAGUGAUGAGAAGCAGCUCCAAGCUGAGUAAAAUCUUCUUGGCAGCUAUGGUUUAUGAGGGUCACAAGACGGGGAUGAGCGAGACCACCUUUGACCAGUUGGCAACAACUGUUUCCUGUCUCUGUACAAGCAAUGGUGAGAAAUUUCCAGGAUGGGAUAUGCUUUUAAAAGUUGGAUGCAAGCUUGGUGAAUGCAGAAUAAUUCUAUGUGAACCUGGAGUGAAGCAUAAACUGCAAAAGUUACAGCUCAAUUUCCCAAGUGAUGAUGUUUCAUUUGCCCUUAAAGACAGCAAGGAGUUGUCGUGGUUGGCUCGGUAUUUAUAACUCAUGAAACACCCCAUGAGUAUGGCUUACAAGUCGGUGAUGUGGAUUAAGAACGAUGAAAUCUCAUGCUCAAGACGCAAAAAAGCACUAGGUGAUUUCUUUUCACUGUCCAAGCAACUUUUAUGGAUAGAGUUACACAAUACAUGUGUUAGUACGAGGUAGCAGAUAUCAGUCG
rnacentral:misc_RNA from 1 species